rnacentral:lncRNA from 1 species
GAAGAAAGAAUCUGAAUUUGGAGAUGACUUGGUCAUGAAAAACCUGUAACAAGGAUAUUGUGAUCACUUCUAGGUCACAAAUUACAGUCAGCCUACCAGCAUCAUCCUCCCUUCUUCUUCCGGGAAAGAACCAGCACUCAAUGAAGGCACAAUGGCAUCAUGUUGUAUUUGGGAAUUAUUCUGCUUUUCUUUAGUAGUUGUGAUAAUCUCAUACCUUAGAUGUAUGUUUUUUACAUAAAAACAUUCCUGGAUACACAAGCCUGUAUAUUCU